CACGUAGGGUGCGAGCGUUGUCCGGAUUUACUGGGCGUAAAGCGCACGUAGGCGGAUCGUUAAGUCGGGGGUGAAAUCCUGGAGCUCAACUCCAGAACUGCCUUCGAUACUGGCGAUCUUGAGUCCGGAAGAGGUGAGUGGAACUCCUAGUGUAGAGGUGGAAUUCGUAGAUAUUAGGAAGAACACCAGUGGCGAAGGCGGCUCACUGGUCCGGUACUGACGCUGAGGUGCGAAAGCGUGGGGAGCAAACAGG
rnacentral:rRNA from 1 species